AAGUCAACGGUUUGGCUGACAGACUUCUAGAAUCCGAACAAACAAAUGCCAGCGAUGAAGUAAUGGUGUCAUGCUCGUCUAAGGAAAUGAAAGACGUCAAUUCUGGAAAACAAAUGAUCAUAGAGGAGGAUUAUGAAACAAACGCUGAAGAAAAACCCUCUUCUUCAUCA